GAAGCUGACCAGACAGUCGCCGCUUCGUCGUCGUCCUUUCGGGGAGACGGGCGGAGGGGAGGAAAGUCCGGGCUCCAUAGGGCAGGGUGCCAGGUAACGCCUGGGGGGGAAACCCACGACCAGUGCAACAGAGAGCAAACCGCCGAUGGCCCACGUAAGUGGGAUCAGGUAAGGGUGAAAGGGUGCGGUAAGAGCGCACCGCGCGGCUGGUAACAGUCCGUGGCACGGUAAACUCCACCCGGAGCAAGGCCAAAUAGGGGUUCAUAAGGUACGGCCCGUACUGAACCCGGGUAGGCUGCUUGAGCCAGUGAGCGAUUGCUGGCCUAGAUGAAUGACUGUCCACGACAGAACCCGGCUUAUCGGUCAGUUUCACUN
rnacentral:RNase_P_RNA from 1 species